CCGAGCCCGGGCCCAGCGCCGCCUGCAGCCUCGGGAAGGGAGCGGAUAGCGGAGCCCCGAGCCGCCCGCAGAGCAAGCGCGGGGAACCAAGGAGACGCUCCUGGCACUGCAGUGUAACUACCAAGCUCACUUUCAUAUACCUCCUGAGACACAGCUGGUCUUAGUGAAUUUAUAUCCUCUAUGUCCAAAGUAAGUCAAAAUAACUUGUCUGCAUUUCAAGAACAACCUACCAGAGACCUUACCUGUCACCUUGGCUCUCCCACCCAAUGGAGAUGGCUCUAAUGGUGGCACAAACCAGGAAGGGGAAAUCUGUGGUUUAAAUUCUUUAUGCCUCAUCCUCUGAGUGCUGAAGGCUUGCUGUAGGCUGUAUGCUGUUAAUGCUAAUCGUGAUAGGGGUUUUUGCCUCCAACUGACUCCUACAUAUUAGCAUUAACAGUGUAUGAUGCCUGUUACUAGCAUUCACAUGGAACAAAUUGCUGCCGUGGGAGGAUGACAAAGAAGCAUGAGUCACCCUGCUGGAUAAACUUAGACUUCAGGCUUUAUCAUUUUUCAAUCUGUUAAUCAUAAUCUGGUCACUGGGAUGUUCAACCUUAAACUAAGUUUUGAAAGUAAGGUUAUUUAAAAGAUUUAUCAGUAGUAUCCUAAAUGCAAACAUUUUCAUUUAAAUGUCAAGCCCAUGUUUGUUUUUAUCAUUAACAGAAAAUAUAUUCAUGUCAUUCUUAAUUGCAGGUUUUGGCUUGUUCAUUAUAAUGUUCAUAAACACCUUUGAUUCAACUGUUAGAAAUGUGGGCUAAACACAAAUUUCUAUAAUAUUUUUGUAGUUAAAAAUUAGAAGGACUACUAACCUCCAGUUAUAUCAUGGAUUGUCUGGCAACGUUUUUUAAAAGAUUUAGAAACUGGUACUUUCCCCCAGGUAACGAUUUUCUGUUCAGGCAACUUCAGUUUAAAAUUAAUACUUUUAUUUGACUCUUAAAGGGAAACUGAAAGGCUAUGAAGCUGAAUUUUUUUAAUGAAAUAUUUUUAACAGUUAGCAGGGUAAAUAACAUCUGACAGCUAAUGAGAUAUUUUUUCCAUACAAGAUAAAAAGAUUUAAUCAAAAAAUUUCAUAUUUGAAAUGAAGUCCCAAAUCUAGGUUCAAGUUCAAUAGCUUAGCCACAUAAUACGGUUGUGCGAGCAGAGAAUCUACCUUUCCACUUCUAAGCCUGUUUCUUCCUCCAUAUGGGGAUAAUACUUUACAAGGUUGUUGUGAGGCUUAGAUGAGAUAGAGAAUUAUUCCAUAAGAUAAUCAAGUGCUACAUUAAUGUUAUAGUUAGAUUAAUCCAAGAACUAGUCACCCUACUUUAUUAGAGAAGAGAAAAGCUAAUGAUUUGAUUUGCAGAAUAUUUAAGGUUUGGAUUUCUAUGCAGUUUUUCUAAAUAACCAUCACUUACAAAUAUGUAACCAAACGUAAUUGUUAGUAUAUUUAAUGUAAACUUGUUUUAACAACUCUUCUCAACAUUUUGUCCAGGUUAUUCACUGUAACCAAAUAAAUCUCAUGAGUCUUUAGU
rnacentral:lncRNA from 1 species